CUGGGGGGACGAUACAUGGUCUUUCAAUGGCUAGGGCCUUCAAAUCUUUAGGACAUGGUUGUUUCCCGGCUUGUCUCAGUAGGUAGGGAAACAUUUCUGAAAUGGAAUGCAGUUAUUUGGUGAUCAUUCUGUCCGUUCUGAGAGAUGUGUUCCUAGGAGACGGGUUGGAUUCUUCAGCAUCCAUAGAAUCCGACACGGACCUAAG
rnacentral:lncRNA from 1 species